UCGCCUGAGGAUGAGCCCGCGUCGGAUUAGCUAGUUGGUGAGGUAAAGGCUCACCAAGGCGACGAUCCGUAGCUGGUCUGAGAGGAUGAUCAGCCACACUGGGACUGAGACACGGCCCAG
rnacentral:rRNA from 1 species